GACGAACGCUGGCGGCGUGUCUAAUACAUGCAAGUCGAACGAAGUGGGGACGGGUGAGUAACCCGUGGGUCACCUCCCAUCAGAGGGGAUAACACUUGGAAACAGGUGCUAAACCGCUACUGAUGGCUGCACCCGCGGUGCAUUAGCUAGUUGGUGAGGUAACGGCUCACCAGGUCCACGAUGCAUAGCCGACCGUAGAGGUUGAUCGACCACACUGGGACUGAGACACGGCCCAGACUCCUACGGGAGGAAGCAGUAGGGAAUCUUCGGCAAGGGACGAAAGCCUGACGGAGCAACGCCGCGUGAGUGAAGAAGGUUUUCGGAUCGUAAAACUCUGUUAUUAGAGAAGCGGUAUCUAAACAGAAAGCCACGGCUAACUACGUGCCAGCAGCCGCGGUAAUUC
rnacentral:rRNA from 1 species